UGGGGAAUAUUGCACAAUGGGCGAAAGCCUGAUGCAGCGACGCCGCGUGAGGGAUGACGGCCUUCGGGUUGUAAACCUCUUUCAGCAGGGACGAAGCGCAAGUGACGGUACUUGCAGAAGAAGCACCGGCUAACUACGUGCCAGCAGCCGCGGUAAUACGUAGGGUGCAAGCGUUGUCCGGAAUUACUGGGCGUAAAGAGUUCGUAGGCGGUUUGUCGCGUCGUUUGUGAAAACCAGCAGCUCAACUGCUGGCUUGCAGGCGAUACGGGCAGACUUGAGUACUGCAGGGGAGGCUGGAAUUCCUGGGGUGGCGGUGAAAUGCGCAGAUAUCAGGAGGAACACCGGUGGCGAAGGCGGGUCUCUGGGCAGUAACUGACGCUGAGGAACGAAAGCGUGGGUAGCGAACAGG
rnacentral:rRNA from 1 species